rnacentral:tRNA from 1 species
AUUUAAAUAGUUUAAUAAAAAUAUUGAUUUGUGGUGUCAAUGAUGUAGUCAUACUUUAGAUU